GGCAGCCGAUGACUUUACUCCAUCCUCCACUUCUCAGCCUUCGUCCUCCAGCAGCAACACUAUUGCCUGAGUUGGUCCAAGAGGAGGAGAGCCGCCAGGACACCACGCAGUUGGUCCAGCCUCCAGAGGGGCUGAAGGAGCAUGGAGCUGGGGAGGGCCUCACUUGGAGCUGGGAGCUGAGUGGUCUGCGUGGAGGAAGGUGGCAGUGGUGUAGUUCUGGAAGAGAGGCUGCAGGAACAUGCCGAUCGUGCCAAAGACACAGACGAAGACAAAGAUCCAAAGGAACAGGCGGUCGAUCACCAUGGCAACAUACUUCCAGUCCUCACUCACCUGGAGAGAGGAAGGAAGGCAUCCAGGGGAUCUAAGGUGGGGACAUGUGGACAUCUGAAAAGAAGGUGACCUUCAAGAGUGGAAGGGUGGAUUUUUUUCAGUUUCAACCAAAAGAUUCCUGACUAAAGCAGCCUUAUCAUACAUCAAGGCACUGUCUUGUUCCAGCUCUGCCGACUCCUUCAACCUCCUCUGGGCCAGUACCUGCAGCCCCACACUCCUCAUGUUGAUUAUACCUGGUUCCACUUCAUCCAUUACUAUGUGUUCCAAAGAGUAACUGGAAAAGGAGGACGUCAAGGCUGUAUAUUGUCACCUGCUUAUUUAACUUAUACGCAGAGUACAUCAUACAAAAUGCCAGGCUGG